rnacentral:lncRNA from 1 species
GUGCAAUGUCUCCCUUCCCCCUUUGAUGAUAAACUCUGCAAGAGCAGGGACCAAGUCACCAUUUUAUCUUCAGACCUAGCAAAAUGCUUCACGACUAGUUAAUGUUCAAAUGGCGUAGGUUGAAUAUAUGACUGCAAGAAAGAAAAAUUCGUCCUUGUAACUUUUGUGUUCUUGCCACAGAGUCAUCUAACUGCAUCCCCUUUGGAUUCUCUUACUCUUUAGAAAUUCCAAAGGAUUCCUCCUCUUCGAAUAGCAAAACACCUCCAUUUGUCAUUUUCCAAAUCUGGUCAUUCUCAAAUACAAAGGAAACAAGUGCAUGAAAUGCUAGCUGCUGGGAGAAAUGUGGAACUAUUCCAUACCUAGCUACUAAAGGUAUUCUGAGGGUCUUAAAAGGUAAAAUGGCAUUUGUUCUAUUAACCAUAGAGAAAGAGCUCAUAAUACUGAAUUAGAGGCAAGUUUAAGGAAUUUUAUUCCCUGGUUUAUUGCAAAUGUAUAAAUGAAAUUAAAACAGAAGAUUCUACCUUGGUUAAAAAGGCACUAUUGUUUUGGUCUCAUUUUGCUAAGUGAAUCAUACAAGCUCUCUUUAAACAGGAGUAUAACAGAGGACAAAAAAGCAUCUUGUUUAGAUUAGUUCUUCCAUAAAAUUCUCCAGCGCUUGGGGGUGAUUCCACCCAGGAGUUUCCCCUUUUGAAGUUAACCCCUAUGCAUAGUUAUUGCUGUUCUCUUCUACUUGUUCUAACUCAGAGGACCCAAGAUUUUCUAGAAGUACCAAGGCAGUGUGUGUAUUGCACUGGUUUAAAAAAUUUUUUUAGGUUGAAGUAAAAUCUUACGGAGAAAGCCAAAGUGUAAAGCAGACAAAGCACAGGUGCUCUUCUCUAUGGGGUGGGUUGAAACUCAUUCUAUGCAUAUAAAAUAAUAAUUCUUGCUGUUUCGUGUCAAUCACAGCUCCGGGAUCUGAAGAUAAAGGAAUGAGUAAAUUUGUCUGCAUCCAGCUAUAUCCCCAGAGAGGCAUUCUCCACAGCAACUUGCUUUUCUUAAAUCUACAAAUUUUUAGUGCAUCUGUGGCUACAAAUGUUGUGUAUGUGCUGUGUGCAUGCAGAAGUGCAGACUGUGAAAGAGGAUGGCUUUUACAGAUGGACUGGCAUGAUGUGGAAGAGUCAGAAGCACAUGCGGAAUAAGCAGGGCCUGGAAGAC